UUCUUUCUUUCUUUCCCCAAUUCUUUAUCUCAGUCCCAUCUGUUCAUUACAAGGAACAAAAAAUGAUCCUGUGGCUAAACCUGGUGUCGUUACUAGCUGUCCUCAGAGGUGUCCUAUCUGAGGUCCAGUUGGUGGAGUCUGGAGGGGAUGUGGUGAGACCUGGGGAGUCCCUCCGUCUCUCCUGCCAAGGUUCUGGAUACAGCUUUGGUGGCUACAACAUGGGUUGGGUGAGACAGGCUCCUGGAAAAGGACUGGAAUGGGUGGCAUACAUAAGCUACAAUUCUGGUAGUACCUACUACUCAGACAAAGUCAAGGGACGCUUCACCAUCUCCAGGGACAAUGCCAAAAGCCAGCUGUAUCUGCAAAUGAACAGCCUCAAAGCUGAAGACACAGCAAUCUAUUAUUGUGCGAGAGACACAGCGAGAGGAAGUGAAUCUGAAGCCAGACAAGAACCUUCUCUCUCCCUCAGAGCAGAUCUCCAAGUGGAUUCAGUCUCUGAAAUUUGA